rfam:Ictidomys tridecemlineatus contig042332, whole genome shotgun sequence.
GGGAUUGUGGCUCAGUGGUAGAGCGCUCACCUGGCACAUGAGAGGCCCUGGGUUCAAUUCUCAGCACCA